rnacentral:rRNA from 1 species
UACGUAGGUGGCAAGCGUUGUCCGGAUUUACUGGGCGUAAAGAGCGCGCAGGCGGUCGUUCAAGUCGCGUGUGAAAGCCCCCGGCUCAACUGGGGAGGGUCACGCGAUACUGAUCGACUCGAAGGCAGGAGAGGGAAGUGGAAUUCCCGGUGUAGUGGUGAAAUGCGUAGAUAUCGGGAGGAACACCAGUGGCGAAGGCAGCUCGCUGGGACGUUACUGACACUGAGGCGCGAAAGCGUGGGGAGCGAACAGG